UGGCAUGUAGGGUCAAAACGGAC
rnacentral:siRNA from 1 species